CCUCGGGUGGCUGCAGUGGGGAAUAUUGGACAAUGGGGGGAACCCUGAUCCAGCCAUGCCGCGUGUGUGAAGAAGGCCCUCGGGUUGUAAAGCACUUUCAGUGAGGAAGAACGCCUGGUGGUUAAUACCCAUCAGGAAAGACAUCACUCACAGAAGAAGCACCGGCUAACUCCGUGCCAGCAGCCGCGGUAAUACGGAGGGUGCGAGCGUUAAUCGGAAUUACUGGGCGUAAAGCGCGCGUAGGUGGCUUGAUAAGCCGGUUGUGAAAGCCCCGGGCUCAACCUGGGAACGGCAUCCGGAACUGUCAAGCUAGAGUGCAGGAGAGGAAGGUAGAAUUCCCGGUGUAGCGGUGAAAUGCGUAGAGAUCGGGAGGAAUACCAGUGGCGAAGGCGGCCUUCUGGACUGACACUGACACUGAGGUGCGAAAGCGUGGGUAGCAAACAGGAUUAGAUACCCGAGUAGUC
rnacentral:rRNA from 1 species